UACAGAGGGUGCAAGCGUUACUCGGAAUUACUGGGCGUAAAGCGUGCGUAGACGGUUGCGUAAGUCAGAUGUGAAAGCCCCGGGCUCAACCUGGGAAUUGCAUUUGAGACUGCGUAGCUAGGGUGCGGAAGAGGGAAGCGGAAUUUCCGGUGUAGCGGUGAAAUGCGUAGAUAUCGGAAGGAACACUAGUGGCGAAAGCGGCUUCCUGGUCCAGCACCGACGUUCAGGCACGAAAGCGUGGGGAGCAAACAGG
rnacentral:rRNA from 1 species